GAUGAACGCUAGCGAUAGGCUUAACACAUGCAAGUCGAGGGGCAGCAUGGUCUUAGCUUGCUAAGACUGAUGGCGACCGGCGCACGGGUGCGUAACGCGUAUGCAACUUGCCUCACAGAGGGGGAUAACCCGUCGAAAGACGGACUAAUACCGCGUACACUCUAUUUUGGGCAUCCAAGGUAGAGGAAAUGAAAUUCGCUGUGAGAUAGGCAUGCGUCCCAUUAGCUAGUUGGUGAGGUAACGGCUCACCAAGGCGACGAUGGGUAGGGGAACUGAGAGGUUGAACCCCCACACUGGUACUGGGACACGGACCAGACUCCUACGGCAGGCAGCAGUGAGGAAUAUUGGUCAAUGGGCGAGAGCCUGAACCAGCCAAGUCGCGUGAAGGAUGACUGUCUUAUGGAUUGUAAACUUCUUUUGGAGGGGAAUAAAGAGGGGCACGUGUGCCCCAGUGAAUGUACCCGACGAAUAAGCAUCGGCUAACUCCGUG
rnacentral:rRNA from 1 species